rnacentral:rRNA from 1 species
GACGUAGGGUCCGAGCGUUGUCCGGAAUUAUUGGGCGUAAAGAGCUCGUAGGCGGUUUGUCGCGUCGGCUGUGAAAUCCCGAGGCUCAACCUCGGGCCUGCAGUCGAUACGGGCAAGCUAGAGUGUGGUAGGGGAGACUGGAAUUCCUGGUGUAGCGGUGAAAUGCGCAGAUAUCAGGAGGAACACCGGCGGCGAAGGCGGGUCUCUGGGCCGUAACUGACGCUGAGGAGCGAAAGCGUGGGGAGCGAACAGG